rnacentral:rRNA from 1 species
CGGGAAAAGCUCAAAUUUAAAAUCUGGCAGUCUUUGGCUGUCCGAGUUGUAAUCUAGAGAAGCAUUAUCCGCGCUGGACCGUGUACAAGUCUCCUGGAAAGGGGGAUCAUAGAGGGUGAUAAUCCCGUCUGUGAC